AACGAACGCUGGCGGCAGGCCUAACACAUGCAAGUCGAGCGAGGACUUCGGUCCUAGCGGCGGACGGGUGAGUAACGCGUGGGAACGUGCCCUUUGCUUCGGAAUAGCCCUGGGAAACUGGGAGUAAUACCGGAUGAGCCCUUUGGGGGAAAGAUUUAUCGGCGAAGGAUCGGCCCGCGUUGGAUUAGGUAGUUGGUGGGGUAAUGGCCUACCAAGCCGACGAUCCAUAGCUGGUUUGAGAGGAUGAUCAGCCACACUGGGACUGAGACACGGCCCAGACUCCUACGGGAGGCAGCAGUGGGGAAUCUUAGACAAUGGGGGAAACCCUGAUCGAGCCAUGCCGCGUGAGCGAUGAGGGCCUUAGGGUUGUAAAGCUCUUUCAGCUGGGAAGAUAAUGACGGUACCAGCAGAAGAAGCCCCGGCUAACUCCGUG
rnacentral:rRNA from 1 species